CUCGAGCGGCCGUUGUCGGAAGGGGCUCACAAGGACCAGGGAAGGGUUCUGGUGUAAAGGUACAAGCUUCAUUUGGAGGUGAGAGAUGAGACGGCGUCAAUCAUUGUUACUCUUUUUGAUGAACCAACAUAACAACUGUUGCAUAGGACAACAAGCUCCCUGAUGGAGGAGGAACGAAAGAAUGACUCGAUUGAUGAUGUCCUUCCACCUGUUUUGCGUAACCUUCUUUGCACGAGACAUGUGUUUGAGGUUAGGGGCCAUACAUACUUCCAUGCUGGUGAAUAUGAAGGCUUCAAUUGUAGCGAGGUUGAAUAUGUACUCGAUACCCAGGUGCAGAGGUUGCUAAUUCCGCAUUGCUA